rnacentral:rRNA from 1 species
GAAUAUUGGACAAUGGGCGCAAGCCUGAUCCAGCCAUGCCGCGUGAGUGACGAAGGCCUUAGGGUUGUAAAGCUCUUUUGUCGGGGACGAUAAUGACGGUACCCGAAGAAUAAGCCCCGGCUAACUUCGUGCCAGCAGCCGCGGUAAUACGAAGGGAGCUAGCGUUGUUCGGAAUCACUGGGCGUAAAGCGCACGUAGGCGGAUCUGUAAGUCAGGGGUGAAAUCCCGGGGCUCAACCUCGGAACUGCCUUUGAUACUGCGGAUCUCGAGUCCGGAAGAGGUGGGUGGAAUUCCUAGUGUAGAGGUGAAAUUCGUAGAUAUUAGGAAGAACACCGGUGGCGAAGGCGGCCCACUGGUCCGGUACUGACGCUGAGGUGCGAAAGCGUGGGGAGCAAA